GAUGAACGCUAGCGGCAGGCUUAAUACAUGCAAGUCGAACGGGAUUCGAGGUAGCAAUACUUUGAUGAGAGUGGCGCACGGGUGCGUAACGCGUAUGCAACCUACCUUUAACAGGUGAAUAGCCCCGAGAAAUCGGGAUUAAUACACCGUAACAUUGCGAUAUGGCAUCAUACUGCAAUUAAAGAUUUAUCGGUUAAAGAUGGGCAUGCGUGACAUUAGCUAGUUGGUGAGGUAACGGCUCACCAAGGCCACGAUGUCUAGGGGUCCUGAGAGGGUUAUCCCCCACACUGGUACUGAGACACGGACCAGACUCCUACGGGAGGCAGCAGUAAGGAAUAUUGGUCAAUGGGCGCAAGCCUGAUCCAGCCAUGCCGCGUGAGUGAAGAAGGCCCUCGGGUUGUAAAGCUCUUUUGUCCGGAAAGAAAAGCGCCGGGUUAAUACCCUGGUGUCCUGACGGUACCGGAAGAAUAAGCACCGGCUAACUUCGUGCCAGCAGCCGCGGUAAU
rnacentral:rRNA from 1 species